UUGGCGCACUUGGCCCGCAGCCUCCUGGCGAAUAGCGGGUCGAUGAGCGGGUUGAGGUCGAUGUUGGGAGCGAAGCGGUCGGAGAAGACGGGGCAGUGGGCGACGCCGAAGGUGUGCGCGCCGGAGAGCGAGACGAGGUCGGCCACGUCGAGGCUCCGGUUGCCGAAGGAGGAGAUGAGAGUCGGCACGUCGAAGGAGGGCGCCGGCAGGGUGUCCACGAGGUCCUGGGACGCCGGGGCGAGCCCGUCGCGGCGGCCGAGGGCGACGUCGAAGUGUGGCCCGCCAGCCUGCAUCCACCACGUACGUACUCGUUGAUUAAUCGGUUCUGCUCAGGUUGAAAAUAUCGUCUGACAUAUGUACGCUUGUGUGGAGCAUAUGGCCGGCAGGCAUGAAGUGGAGUGUACCUGUACGAGGGCGUCACGGGUGGCGAGGACGGUGAUGUCGGCGCAGGAGACGGUCGGGCCGCAGGCGGCAUGGACGGCGGCGCGGAUGCGCUCGAUGAGGUCGAGAGCAACGGGGCGGAGCGUCUGGUUGGGCACCGCAUUCAGCUCGCUGUUGUUCCCGGUGAGGAGCACCGACGCGUCGCAGCCCUGCGGGAAGCAGUCGUGGAAGAGGAUGCGGAUGAGGGCGGGGGCGACGCCGACGUCGCGCCGGAAGGUCUCCGCCACGAGGUCCCCCACGAUCUUCUCCAGGCCCGGGCACGACGCGGCGUGGAAGCCCCGGGACAGCCCGCCGGCGUCCGCGGCCGAGAUGGUCGACUGGGCGGCGCAGAUCAAGGCUGCCAGGACGAGGACGGUCGCUGUUGCUCUGGACGCCAUUG
rnacentral:lncRNA from 1 species